AACGAACGCUGGCGGCAGGCUUAACACAUGCAAGUCGAGCGCCCCGCAAGGGGAGCGGCAGACGGGUGAGUAACGCGUGGGAGUCUACCCACCUCUACGGAAUAACGCAUGGAAACGUGUGCUAAUACCGUAUACGUCCUUCGGGAGAAAGAUUUAUCGGAGAUGGAUGAGCCCGCGUUGGAUUAGCUCGUUGGUGGGGUAAAGGCCUACCAAGGCGACGAUCCAUAGCUGGUCUGAGAGGAUGAUCAGCCACACUGGGACUGAGACAAGGCCAGGACUACUACGGGCGGCAGCAGCGGAGAAUAUUGGACAAUGGACGCAAGCCUGCCCCAGCCAUGCCGCGUGAGUGCUGCAGGCCCUAGGGUUGUAAAGCUCUUUCACCGGUGAAGAUAAUGACGGUAACCGGAGAAGAAGCCCCGGCUAACUUCGUGCCAGCCGCCGCCGUAACAC
rnacentral:rRNA from 1 species